AAAAAGGCGCCUUUGCACGAGCCUAGAGCCCGAGCCUUGAGCUGACGGCGCGGUUAUUCCUGUUCGGUGUACGUGUAAUUGCUAAAAUUGCUUAUGUGACACCACGAGGAGCGUGCAGUCUCAUUCAUCGAAGAUUAAUCGUUAUUGCCCCAGGCGAAUACGAUUUUAUCAAUUUCUACGGGCAAAUAAAGCGAAAGACAAUGCAGUUUCAAAUAACAACCCAGAUUGGUUUUCGCGUUCUUCCUACCGCACAAACCCCUCCUUUGGAACAUCUUUUUUUUAAUAGACACCGACUUUGAACCCAACGGAAAAUCAGAAACGCUCCUAUCACAUUUCUAUCUAGUCCCUUCACUGGCGAAACCAAUCAUUCACCGUGACACUUUUCUUAGUUCCGAGGGCGCACCCCAACUCAAGUAUCUACUCUGACGUUAACCACCUUACCCCCAAAGAUUCAUCGUAGACGGGUUUGCGUCAAGACCAAAAAACUGUCUCCUUCAGUUUCAGAAUAAAAUGUACAUAUAUCUAGAUUCAAGAUACAAAUAUAAAAGCAGACAGAUUCGCCUGAUGCAUUGUGAAAUAUAUAAUAUUAUUAUUACAGUAAAUGUUGAAUAUACACUGGAAUUGUUAAAUACUUCUUAAAUGAUUUUAUACAAUGUGAAUAAGAUAUACUUUAAAUUUCCUUUGAUUCAAAUAACUAGGGUUUUAGAUUUUAAAAAAAUUUUUCUGAACCAUUCCUCAACUGCCUGGAAUACCUGUUGUGGCUUAAUUUUAUCCGUGAGCUAAAUUCUAUUUUAGUUUUUGUCUACGUCAUAUGAUUCCCAAGGCUACUAUACUCUAAAAAAGGGGCAAUAAAUGUAGAGUGAGGAUAAAACAGCAAUAAAGCAUAUACUCAUACUUCACAACUAA